GCUUGGAUGGCGGAAUUGGUAGACGCUGGGGACUUAAAAUCCCUUGGUAGAAAUACCGUGGGGGUUCGAGUCCCCCUCCGAGCA
rnacentral:tRNA from 1 species